GUGGGGAAUCUUGCGCAAUGGGCGAAAGCCUGACGCAGCCAUGCCGCGUGAAUGAUGAAGGUCUUAGGAUUGUAAAAUUCUUUCACCGGGGACGAUAAUGACGGUACCCGGAGAAGAAGCUCCGGCUAACUUCGUGCCAGCAGCCGCGGUAAUACGAAGGGGGCUAGCGUUGCUCGGAAUUACUGGGCGUAAAGGGCGCGUAGGCGGACAGCUUAGUCAGAGGUGAAAGCCCAGGGCUCAACCUUGGAAUUGCCUUUGAUACUGGCUGUCUUGAGUUUGCGAGAGGUGAGUGGAACUCCGAGUGUAGAGGUGAAAUUCGUAGAUAUUCGGAAGAACACCAGUGGCGAAGGCGACUCACUGGCCCAAUACUGACGCUGAGGCGCGAAAGCGUGGGGAGCAAACAGGAUUAGAAACCCUUGUAGUCC
rnacentral:rRNA from 1 species